CUGAGUGGACUGGUUUAUACUGGGACAGAGAGGCUGAGUGGACUGGUUUAUACUGGGACAGAGAGGCUAAGUGGACUGGUGCUUUGAGACUGACCGAGCAGAGACCAUGAACCUGGAGCAGAUAGUGGAGGAGAACCUGACGGUGUUCAAGGCUCAGUUCUUCAUUAAAGAGAGGCUGAGUGGACUGGUGCUCUGAGAAUGACCGAGCAGAGUCGUUGAACCUGGAGCAGAUUGUGGAGGAGGAGGACCUGACGGUGUUCAAGGCUCACAGAGAGCUCUUCAUAUGGAUGCACGUUUCUCCGCCUGCUGUGAAGUUACAGACCACUUUGAUGGCAUCUCCUAUGCAGCCCUGGUUUGGAUCAAUCCAGUAUUCACCUGAGAGAUAAACAGCCAUGAGAUGGAGCCAAGGCAAGGUCGGGCUGGCUGAGGUGCAGGUCGUUGCAGGUCCUGGCAGGAUUGUCUUGGGUACCCAUGGGGAACUUUAUGCGCUCAAUGUCUUGUUUGAGGUUGUUGAGGGAUCCAAAGACAUCCUCCAUUCCCUCCAUACCGACGCCAUCUACGCCGUAGUCUGGCAAUGCCUCGUCUCCCUGCAUCUCAGCAUGGCGCCUGGUCUUUCUGGACAUCUGGAUGGGCAGCGGCUGGAUGAAGUCUCCGGGUGGACCCUGCAACACGGAGGUUAAGCUUCACCCUUGCCUCCUCCAGUACCCUGAGGUCCAGGCAAUCCUCGGUCUCCCUUCUCUCCGGGCUCACCGGGAGGUCCAAUCAGACCGAUAAGACCCGGAUGACCCUGGAGAAGGCAGAGAAGAAAAUAAAGAACAAAAAGUGAGACAAAAGCAUCGGAAUAACUCGUUACAUUACUCAUUCAAUAUUUAUUCCAGCAUAGUUGCACUCUGCACCAUUGCACUGUUGUAUUAUUGUUUACAAUUUACAGAAACAGUCUGACUCAUACAUUGUAUGUUGUUCCCUGGUGUAUUGCAUUUUUUUAAUAUUUAUUUAUCUUCUUUCACCUACGUGUAUGUUCACUCUUGUUCAGCUUUGUUUGCAUCCGUGUUUCUAUUUCUGUGUAUGUACAAUGAAAGCAACAGAAACCUGGAGCCAAAUUCCUGGUAUGUGUACUCAUACCUGACCAAUAAACGGAUUCUGAUUUA